GAUGAACGCUGGCGGCGUGCCUAAUACAUGCAAGUCGAGCGAACAGACGAGGAGCUUGCUCCUCUGACGUUAGCGGCGGACGGGUGAGUAACACGUGGAUAACCUACCUAUAAGACUGGGAUAACUUCGGGAAACCGGAGCUAAUACCGGAUAAUAUAUUGAACCGCAUGGUUCAAUAGUGAAAGACGGUUUUGCUGUCACUUAUAGAUGGAUCCGCGCCGCAUUAGCUAGUUGGUAAGGUAACGGCUUACCAAGGCAACGAUGCGUAGCCGACCUGAGAGGGUGAUCGGCCACACUGGAACUGAGACACGGUCCAGACUCCUACGGGAGGCAGCAGUAGGGAAUCUUCCGCAAUGGGCGAAAGCCUGACGGAGCAACGCCGCGUGAGUGAUGAAGGUCUUCGGAUCGUAAAACUCUGUUUUUAGGGAAGAACAAAUGUGUAAGUAACUAUGCACGUCUUGACGGUACCUAAUCAGAAAGCCACGGCUAACUACGU
rnacentral:rRNA from 1 species